AAAAUUAUAUGGCUCAAUCUCAUGUCAUGAGAACGGAGGAACCAAUCUUUUGGGGUUAAUUCUGCCUAGCAGAAGGGAUGAUAGACUCUUUCGCCAUCCUACCCGUCAGCUAACUUCGUCGGCUAAAGCGAAGGAGGUC
rnacentral:sRNA from 2 species